CUAUAACUAUAAAGGAGAGUUUUCUCUCUCCUUAGGCUAUCCACAUCACCAUUCACAUAGGGGCAUUUACUUCCACGUGGCACUCCCAAUUCUUGAAAAAAAAAAUGUGAACGAAAGCUAAUUGGGCCAACCGAUCUUAUAAUGUUAAUUUCUUAUAUUUGGGCUUCUAUCCUCUCUUUUCUUCAGGCCCCAAGUACCAUGUGAAGGUCAACAUAGAGAACAUCUCCGACCCUUCCCUGCGCCGAUGAAGCCACCUCCGAUGAACUUCCUGUAACGCCUUCGGUUUCCAUUUAUUUUCCCCUUUAAUCGGAUCAGUUACAUGUUUCAUUCAACUCCUCCCACUCUGUAGCAUUUAAUCAUUUUCAUACAUAAUCGACGGGAGAUCUCUGAUAAAAUUGAACGUUUCUAGCUAUGAACAGCCCCACCUCUGUGAAAUCCAUUUCUUUGAGCUCAAGGCUGGCCGAUGCAGGCAGAGAGUUGCCACACGGAUUCUCCGGUUCCGAGGGAAGACUCUGGAACCAUUCGGGUUUUAUCUUCAUCCAUUUUUGCUUAAUUGAUCAUUAAGAUGGCUUUGGUUUAAUUGAAGAAAUGCAAUCUCAACGUUUACGUUUUUUGGUAGCUAUACUGUGAGAAGGAAAGACUGUCAGGUGAUCAGUUUGAACAGCUGAAGGCAUUCAUAGAUAUUGGUGAUGUUUUGGGUGCUUGUGGCUCAAAGAAGAGGACCGAGAAAGGUGAACUCAAAUAAAAUGCUGUCACAAAUUCUCUCCUUCCACUGCCUGCCAGACAAGACACGUAUCAUGGUCUAACUGAUAUUGAUAAACGUUACCGACAAAGAUGUGUGGAUAUGAUUGCUAAUCCUGAAGUGCCUAAUAUGUCCAGCAAAAGAAAAAAAGAAGAGCACGACUACUGGAAUUCAUGUGAGGAUCACAUGGUGUUUUUUCACGCAUAUAUAAAGAAACGUUGGGGUGUUACGAAUCCAGAUUUGAUUGACUAAGUGAGGCUCAUGCGAUCUUCUUGAAGGAUAUGGACAAUUCUGUGAUUGAUAUGGUGACAUAUUGAACAUGUGAAUGAAUUAGAACAAUAUCUAAGUCUGAGAGUGGAGGUGGCACACGUGGCGAUGGAGUCGUUGCAAAAAGUGCGGGAGGGAAGUAAGAAAGCAACAAUGCAGCUGGUGGACAUAGAGUACAAUACUGUUGAUUUCUUCUUGAAGCUUCUCCAGCUCUAAGAAUACUCACUUUUUUUCUUGGUUGUGGUUGGUACCUGGAGUUACUGACACCGAAGAGAUUAGAUCUUCAGGUUGUGAUUUUACGAGGUAAUCUACACUGGAAGACGUCAUACCGUGUCGAUUUAUUUAAAACAUCACAAAGUCUUAUCUGCUGACUCUUUGUUUGUGUUUGUUUUUGGCCUUCACCUUAUAUAGUUAUAUGCAUGAGCUCUUCACAUAUCGACUAUAUUUGUUUAGUUAUGUAGAUUUCUUUACUCUUUUAGUGUUAUUAAAUCCUUUGAUUAUUAUUUACCAAAAACCUCUCUAUUCGAACUGAAAUGAACGAAAAGGUCAUCUACUCAAUCCCUCAAGUAAGCUAUUUAUAAAGCAUCAAACCAUUUAAUUAGAAAAAAAACAGCAACAACUCUAAGCUCCGGGAAGUGUCCGAUAUAAACAAAGAUUCUAUUAUACUAAGAAGCUAUAAAAUAACGAAGACACCUAUUAAAAAUAAAAUUGAGGAGUGCUUUGAGGAAAUCAAGUAACAAAAUCAUAGUUAAUUUUUCAAAAUGAUGAAAGCUCUGAGAGCUAUUGCCUUCACUAAAUCAUUAUAAAGUCAUUUCUCUAUCCAGUAAGAUCAUGUCUUGAGAUGGGCGCAGAUUCGACAUUUAACUUUUCUGAAUGAAACAAAAAAAAAAUCCAUUCACAAUAUGACCC